rnacentral:lncRNA from 1 species
CUGUGGUUUACUGUAUCUGCAGAUAUAGAACCUGAAGAUGUUACAGAGUAUCAACUAUAUGAAGAAGAUGUUUUUUUUUCUUGUACAAAAAAUUGCAGCUAUUGAAUUCUAGGUUCAAUUCUGAAUUUAUUUCUUAUCUAAAUAUUAAUUUUUAAGUAAACAUUUUGAAGCUUUUAUUUUACUCAGAUACAUAUAUGAAGAGAUUUUAGACUUCUGAACUAUCUAAUUUCCAAAGUAUAAAAAAAAACAGUGGCUCAUAUUUAAAAUAUGAAACUUUCAUUUUCUGAGAUGCCUACAUUUUGUAUAUCUGUGAAUUAGGAGGGUCAAGCAUGGUACUAAAUUCUCCUGCAAUACCUUUUAAAUUCUUAUAAGUAUUAUUGCUUUUUUAUUUCCUGCAUUAACAAAGUUAUGAAUAUGUCAUGUGUAAUUCUCUCCAAUCCAGACUAACACUGGUGGAAAUGCAGAAUGGAACCUGCAUUGUAUAUGGCUCAAGCUUUAAAGGCUACACAGAAAACUGUUCAGCCCUGAACACAUACAUCUGCAUGCAAAGGAUUGGGUAGACUCAAUAAACCAUCCCAACACAAAACAGGAACAGAGAAGGGAUUGCACCGGCAGGAACAAUGCUAUGUGGCUGAAGGAAACAAACAAUGGGACAAACACAGGAAGAACAUACACCUCCUGGGCUCUCCAGAAUAGGACCACAGAACUAUUCUGCAUCUAGUAUUCUGUAAGACAAAGGAAGGCAAUUCAGAAAUCAUCAAGUCCUCCUCUACCAUGGCCCAGACUGCACAGGAUGGAGUUGGGUUCAGCCUCGAUUAAAAAGAAUGGAACCAAUCCAGGAAAGUGGUGAGGAAAAAGUAGCCCUAUAAAUCACUGGUGGUACAUCUAGCAGAGAAAACUGCUCCAUGGGUGGGCAGUGCUGUGCCCAGCUAUGGGGGUAAUGUUGCCAUCCAAAUCAGUUAAGAAGGCAGGACUGCUGCCCCAGUGGGCCUGGAGGCAGAGCAGAAAGCCAGAGAGGUUUAUUCUUGGAACUUAAGAUCUCGUGGAGUUUGCCUACCUAGGUUUUGGACUUGCUUGGAGCCCAUCAUCCUUUCUUUUUCUUCGACAUUUCCUCCUUUUGGGGUGGCAGCUUAUCCAGUGCCAAUCCCAACCUUGCACUUUGAAAGCACAUAAUUUAUUGUAUUUCAUGAGUUCACAGCUGGGGAAGAAUGUUGCCUGUCCCACCCAACAAUAUUUUGGGUGGGACAGGCAACAUUUGGAUAAAUAUUAACUAUUUAGGUAAUACUUAGAUGAGACUUCAGGCUUUAGAUUUUAGAGUUGGUGCUAGAAGGAGUAAAGCCUUUUGGGGUUGUUGGGAUGGAAUGAGUGUAUUCUGCAUGUGAGGACAUAAACCUUUCAGAGGCCAGGGGUAGACUAAAUGUUUGUGUACCUCCAAACUUCAUAUUUGAAACUAUAACGCCCUCCAAAUUAUAAUAGAAGGCAGGCCUUUGGAAGGAAAUUUGGGUCAUAAGUGUUAAGCCCUGGUGAGUAGGAUUAAUGCUUUUAAUAAAAGACCCCAGAAACCUCUCUAAUCUUUCUUAUCACAAGGGGAUACAAGGAGAAUUUGAGUCUACACCUGCAGGAGGAUCUUCAGCAGAGCCCAACCAUGACGGCAUAAACUUUGUUUAUAACUCACCUAGUCGAUAAAACUAAGAACAGAGGGGAAGAUAGCUGGGCAUUCGUUAUCACUGAAAAUAACAGAAAAUGAUUCAUAAUGUUGUUGCAUAAUAUAUUGUUACUUGGGGAAAGUAUUACUAAACCAGCAGACAGGUAAAAUGUAUUAAAUAUCAGAACUAAAUAAAAAUGGAAAUCACAACCGAAAAGCAACCACAGACACUGGCUUUUAUUCUGAGAGCUUAUAAUAAACUUUGGGACUGUUAGUUUCUGUUUUGAUGGUUGUCAUGGAGCUUGGAAAUACAAGACAAAGUUUAGUGGUCAUUUAACCUGAGUGUGAAAUGCAAGUUCUCUUUCUAAAACUGAGAUCCCCCAAAUGUUUCAAACUCCUACAAGAAAUAAGAAAUAAAACCUAUACUUCAGAAAAUAGAAAGAGAGAUUCUUGCUAGUCUUGACCUUUGAAAAGAUGGUGGAGAAAAAUGAAAACCUCCCAUGAAACAUUUAUUCCCACAGAUAAGCCCUCAUUUACAUUUACAGCCCAAGUCUGGCUAACAGUGAAGUCAAAUAAUAAAAGUAUGGCAGUCAAAUAAUUUAUUUGAAGUAGUUCAAGGUUAUUAAUUGCAUUACUACUAACAAUGUCAAUAUUGUCUGAAGGGAAAUAACCUCAACCAGUUCUCAAGAACUUUGGUAAUCUUCCAAAUUUCUCAGACACAAAGAUAAAAUUACAAAAGGUAGAAACUAAAGGAUGGGAGGGUGGAAAGGGGAGUAAUCUUGGUGAAGGGUCUUGAAAAUCUGAAAUCAUGUCAAAAUAAAGAGCUAAAAUAACCAAACAAAUUGAAGUCAUCUUUGAAACCUGUCUUUCUCUUACACAAUACACCAAUAUGUCAGCAAAUCCAAGUCUCUCUUUCUCUUUCUCUCUCUCUCUGUCUCUGUCACACACAUACACACACACACAUUUACAUAUGCACACAACUACAUAUUCAUAUGUGCACAUAGUAUAGCAAUAUAUGUUGGCCAAUCACUUCCCAGUACUUCCCCUGACAAUUGUUAUUUUCAAAGAGAAAUACUAUUGAAUUCUGACUUCUAGUGUUUGUACUGAGGAGUUAUCUUCUUAGUCUAUUAUUGUUUGUCUCUUCAUAUGGCUACUGUUAAGAUUAUCUCUUCAUCUUUGCUUUCAGUGUUUUGGCUGUUACAGCUUGGUAGGGUUUUGUUUCUGUUUAUUCUGGUCCAAGUUUAUGUAUUUGUUUUUCUGUCCCAUUCUGUAUCUAUGCUCACCCUAAAACUUCAAUUCCACAUACAUUUUCCUAUUGAGUAUCACAUUUCA